GCUUCGGGAAUCAAGUGGUCGUAAAAAUCGUCGUUAUCUCCUAAACGGUUCGAGAUAUCGAAACGACGUUUUUUGGGAAUGACAAUACGCAGAAAGGGCUAUUUUUAUCAUAUGAUAAACACUCGAUAAGUUUUUGUAAACGAGUGAGCUGAGCGAAAACAUGGCUCCAUAUAAAUUACAGCAUGAAGUUUUGUCCGAAUAGACCUCUGCGAUCUGAAAUGUCCGAUAAGCGAUGGCGUCCCGGCUGUUAAAAUUUUCUAGACCUGCAACUUUAUCGACUUUAGGUCCACGUACUAAAUAAACUUCCCUCUCCUUAUCCUUACAAAAAACUACACAUUACCUAUUGCAUCAGCCACACGGCAUUGACUCUGUGUGAGCGUUGACCUCAGUGAUUACGUAACUGCUUAUCGCUCUCUGUUUACAAAUAUGACAAGCGCAGACGCGUGCUGCUAUAAAGACUACUAUAGCACGCGUCCGGAAUAACAUCCCAGACUCUGGGCUUAGAAAAUUCUGACCGCUAGCGUUAGCCGAGAACCGCUAGAUGUACAUCGAGAACCGGGAUGCUCGCCGUGCAAAUACAGCACCUGAAUCACAUUUUUCUGUUGCACAAUAUACCGAUAAUUUGAAAUACCAUUGGCAGAAGAAUUGGAGAAGUUGCCACAGCGUCCUUACAACUUCUUCAUCAGAAGUAAGACUCAUUUCCCAUCUUGAUUACUGGCUGCUCUAUGUACCUCUCCACAUCUAGAAGAGAGAAUUGUGAAGAUUCAAGACGACUCUUGAGGAACUCACAGCUUAAGAGAGCCAUAAUUUAUAACAUAAGUGUGCAAAAUCAGUACUGGUAUAGAGGGUCACUGAAGUCAUUAUGUGAUUUGAAAGGGAUAAUAAUUAAAUGUGAAGUACACCUUAUUUAAGUCACCCUUUACCACAGAAUUUUCUGCUGUGAUAAUGACUUGCUAGUGUGUGAUAUUGAUCUGUCCAUCUCUCCCACCUUGAAAUUGUGGUUGUGAUAGCAGACUGACCAGCCAUGGUCUAUGUUAGGUUGGAAGACUGCGUGUUUUAAGGUUGAUAAUGUGCAAGAGAAAACAGUGGAAAAUACUGAUCUUGCAGUUAAAAGUUGGCACUAGAUCAAGUAUUUAUGCAAUAUUUGAAAAAUACAGACAAAUGUUUAACUACA